GACAGCUGCAUUCAUUACACUGGCUGGCACUGCAUUUGUUUAAUAGAAUACUUGAUUUGAAAGGAUCAUGUUAAUAUGUUGAAAAUAAGAAAGGUAGCAUUGUAUAAUAAACAGUUACAAUGCUUGUGGACAGUUCAAAAGAAUCUGUGGCAGUCUUGGCACUAUACAAGUGUUGCUUAUGUGAAUGUUAGACAUAAAUCAACAACAAAGAAGCCAUGGAAAGGAUCUUUACAGCAAGAAAAUAGCUCAUUUACAGAAGACUUCACUUCACUAUCAGAGUCCAGUAUUAAUCAAGACAGUGUUAUACAGUAUGAUGGAGAUCCAUUGCCAAGAGUUAUGAAAAAGAAAUCAUCUCAUAAAUCAGUGGAAAAGGAAAUUGAUAAAGCAGACUUUUCAGAUUUUUAUAAAAAGUAUGGGGAGGAUUCUACAAGUAGUAAUGAGAGUGCUGAAAAUAGUUCUAUAACAAUACUUCCAUUGCAUGAGGUUCUAAAAACUCUUCAAGAGGAACAUUUUGUAAAAAGUAAAUUGCAGGAGAAAAGGCAUGGGCCAACUCAAACCCCAAGUUGUUUGGAAGUUGACACACAACCAAAAAUUAGCAAUAAAAAUGUUAUUUCUAAAAAUAGAAGAGAUGACUCCAAGAAUUUUCACCAAAAGUCAAAUACUUUACAUAGCAAGAAAAAAAUUGUUAUUGUUAAAGGGAAAAGGGAAACACAGAAGAGCAAAAUUAAUGCAACCAAUCAGAUUUCCAGGAAUCAGAAUCAGGCAGAACCGGGUAUCAAUACAUUAAAUGGAUUGUCAAAUGAAGGGGUAAAAUUUCUUGAUUUGUCAAAAAAGUCUGAAAAAGAAGUGGAGAGAAAAGAGAAAAUUGAAUCAGAAAUAAGAGAGAUACUAGACAAAAAAUUUAAUGGCAUUCAAAAUAAGAGAUCUACUAGUACAAUGUAUCGGGAGAGUAAGCUAGGGAUCCAGAUGCUCUCAUCCCCCCUAUAUGAACAGCUCUUUUCUAAUGUCACUCCAAAGGAAGAGCAGGAGGUUAAAGAUGAUUUAAAUAGAAGCAAGGAACAUCUUAUUGCCCAAGGUUUAUGGGGAAAAGAACCAUCUGUUCUUCCUGACUUUGAUUUCAAGUUACCCCCAUUAAAAGACAGAGAUCUAGAUCAACAUUUUCGUAUAAUUGCUGAGGAGCAGUGUGCACCUUAUAAAGAUUUGCUCUGUCAGUUAGUAGGUGCCGAUUUACCAAAUUUUCCAAGCAGAUGGAAUUUCACAUCUGGAUGGACUCGAUAUAAUGCUGAUGGAAGUGUCACAGCAGUUGAUUACCCAGACUGUAAAGCUUUAGUUUUUGAUGUGGAAGUAUGCAUGGAAGAGGGUAAAAGGCCAACUUUAGCUACUGCAGUGUCAGAUAAGUAUUGGUAUUCCUGGUGCAGUAAGCAAUUGGUUAAUGAUCAAAGUGAAGGAACCCAAGAAGUUCUUUAUGAAGACCUUAUACCUCUUGAAUUUUCAAAAGAGACUGGAAUGGAUCAUAACAAGAGCAUGCCAAGAGUUGUUAUUGGACAUAAUGUUAGUUAUGAUAGACUGAGGGUACGUGAACAGUACCAAGUUGAGGGAACACUACUACGUUUUGUGGAUACAAUGUCAUUGCACAUAGCAGUAAGUGGACUUAUUUCAGAGCAGAGAGCAAUGAUGUUAAAAAAUAAAAAUUCAGACAAGAAAGUUAAGCUUCCCUGGAUGUUUGUUGGAUGCCAGAAUAGUCUUAAUGAAAUUUUUAAGUUUUAUUGUCGCACUGGCGAAGAUCUGAAAAAGGAUACACGAGAUGUAUUUGUUAAAGGUAGUCUUGUUGAUAUACGUGAAGAUUUUCAAAAUCUGAUGAGUUACUGUGCAAGUGAUGUGAAAGCUACGCACAUGGUAUCAGUGAAAUUGUUACCUCUAUUUUUUGAACGAUUUCCUCAUCCAGUAAGUUUUGCUGGUAUGCUAGAAAUGGGAACAACAUUUUUACCUGUAACACAGAACUGGAAUAAAUACAUCCGUGCUGCAGAAUCCGAGUUCCAUAGAAUGGAAAGACUAUUAAAUGAAGAAUUGGUAAAACAAGCGAGAGGAGCACUGAGAUAUGUUGAUAACAAAGAAUAUGAAAAUGAUCCAUGGCUUUGGAGUCUUGACUGGUCAGUACCAAAAGGAAGAGUGAAGAAGCUGCCUGGCUAUCCAAAUUGGUAUAGGAAAUUAUGUGCACACACUGGAGAAAGGGAGGGCACACCUGAGCCAGAAAAUAUGAGUACUAGUUUACAAGUUGUACCAAGACUGUUAAGAUUAACUUGGAAUGGGCUUCCUCUGCAUUAUGAGAAAAAAUAUGGUUGGGGUUACUUGAAACCUUCAUAUGGAAGUGUAGGUGAAAUACCACAGCGAGAAACUACGAUGGACAGCAAUAUUGUGCAUCAGACUUUUCCUGUGAAAUCUAUCUAUAAAAUGUAUGCAGGCCAAAAAAUAGAUAUUGAAAGUUUUCUAAAACAGAAAGAAAACCAGACCAGUGAUUUGCCUGAAACAGAACAGGAUUGGUUGUCACUUUUGUCUGAGAGUGAGUCCGAACGUAAAGUAAAAGAAAAAAAGAAAUCAAAUGAUCAAAAUCAAAAGAAAAAAGAUGAAGAGCAAGGGUAUGAUAUUGGGAUUCCUGGCAUUGCAUUUGUUCCAUUACCACAUAAAGAUGGGCCAGGCAACCGUGUAGGUAAUCCCCUUGCAAAAGACUUUCUUCUGAAAAUUGAAGAUAAAACAUUGAGCAGUUAUUUUGGAGAUGUAGCUGAGUUAGUUCUGAAGACAAGCAAAUCAUUGUCAUAUUGGCGGAAUAAUAGAGACAGAAUACUAUCCCAGAUGGUCAUAUGGAAGGACAAGAAUGAUGAUUUAAAUGAUGAGCUUUCAGAAGCUAAUGAAGAGAAGAAUUGUAGAACUGGCAUUAUUUUGCCAAUGGUAGUGACGGCAGGCACUAUCACUCGGCGUGCAGUGGAACCGACUUGGAUGACAGCCUCUAAUGCCUAUGUAGAUCGCAUUGGUUCUGAACUGAAAGCCAUGGUUGAAGCCCCCCCUGGUUACAGUUUUGUUGGAGCUGAUGUAGACUCACAGGAAUUGUGGAUUGCUGCUGUGCUUGGUGAUGCUUACUUCUCUGGUGAACAUGGAGCUACUGCCCUUGGCUGGAUGACAUUGCAAGGGAAGAAGUCUGAUGGCUCAGACAUGCACAGUCGAACUGCCAAUACUGCUGGCAUAUCACGUGAUCAUGCUAAGGUUAUCAAUUAUGGGAGAAUUUAUGGAGCAGGGUUACGCUUCAUUCAAAGAUUAUUGCGGCAGUUUAAUCCCAAAUCUUCAGAAGAAGAAACCCAACAACGUGCUGUGCAACUAUUUGCAACUACCAAAGGACAAAAAGGAUGGUACCUCAGUAAGAUGGGAGAAAAGCUUGCAUCAGAACUGAAUUAUCCACUCAGUGGUGAAGCUUUAGAUCGCAAGGAGGUAAACAAGUUGCUGAGGCAGGCCAGAUAUAGCAACAUAGAAGCCUCAUUUUACGAUGUAGUGGAGGGUCCUGCUGUAUGGGCAGGUGGCUCUGAAUCUCAUAUGUUCAACUGUUUAGAAGCAAUAGCCAGGUCUGAAGAACCACGGACACCAGUACUAGGAGCAAGAGUAACCCGUGCCCUUGAAUCAAAAUAUGUUGAUGACCAGUACAUGACUAGCAGAGUGAAUUGGGUCGUCCAGAGCUCAGCUGUUGAUUAUCUUCACAUCAUGCUUGUGUCUAUGCGAUGGUUACUCCAAGAUUACAACAUAAGAGGAAGAUUUUGUAUCAGCAUCCAUGAUGAGGUGAGAUACUUGGUAGCAACAGAAGACGCUCAUCGUGCUGCUCUGGCUCUUCAGAUCACCAACCUACUGACACGCUCACUCUUUGCUCAAAAAUUAGGUUUCAAAGAUUUGCCUCAGUCUGUAGCUUUCUUCAGUGCAGUAGACAUAGAUCACGUUCUUCGUAAAGAGCCCCACCUUGACUGUGUUACACCUUCAAAUCCAGAAGGUCUGAAUAAAGGGUAUGGAAUUCCUCCUGGAGAAGCUCUUGAUAUGCAGAAAAUUCUUGAGAUCACCUCAGGUAUUCUUGAGAAGAAUAAAGAGGAUGCCAGAUGAUUGUAUCAUUCUGCUAUUUACAUGCAGAGACUUGAAUCUCCUGUGCCUGCAAGGCUAGUUUACUGGGCUCCCUCAGGUGGCAUCACAAGUGGCAUGUGAUCAUUUAUUUGUUUACAUAGCAGUGGUUGGUGCAGCUCCAUCGAUUAUGAAAUACCAAAGGCAUCCUCAGGAGAUAUACUGACUGGAGUAAAUAGGAGUAUUAGAUAUUUUAAAUAUCUUGUGAAAUAUUACUCUGUGUUUUACUUAUUGCAUAAACAAUUUUUUUUUUUUUUUUUUUAUUGUUAUUCUCACUUACUGAAUAUGCAUUAAAAGUUUCUUAAAUUAAAUUGUAUUGCAAUAAAUAAAUUAUAAUAUAGUAAUUUGUCUUGCUGACUCAGAUUAUUAAGUUAAAAUCCAAUAUGUAAACAAAGCAUAAAUAACAAAAUAUAAAAGUGCCUUACUCCUCUUCUCCUGUGCCACCAAAUCUGCAGGCUCAUUGCAAAUAAUCUUGAAGUCAAGCAAAUGUGAUUUGUAGUCAACCUGGUACAGCUGCAGAGCCAUAUGUACAUAGCUUCCAAUCACUGGAUUCUUUCGUCGUACACGCACGUGGAAAGGAUUAACAACCUUCCAUUCCUUUACCAUAGAAAGAGAAAUGUUUAUAUAUUGUUGUACAUCAGUCAUGAAUAUAAAUAAGUCAGAUAGCAAAUUAAAUUACUUUUUACUGAAUCUAAUUUAACCCAUUUCUUAUUUUCCAAUGUACCUGACACAAUCAGGUAUGCUACUCCCUCAGAUUUUUCACAUCACAACAUAUUGCUUUCUUUCCUUUGAAUGUGUUGUAUGGGCCAUAAUUAGUGUUGUGGAAAUGUGAAAUAAGUCACCACUUGUGUAAGUCCUUAUCAGCUUUGGUCUUACAUUGUGUCUUUAUAAGAAUAAAUGCUGUUAUUUAA
rnacentral:misc_RNA from 1 species